rnacentral:sRNA from 1 species
GCCAGGCAUAGUGGCACAUGCCUGUAAUCCCAGCUGCUCAGGAGGCUGAGGCAGGAGGAUCACUAGUUCAAAGCUGGCCUCAGCAAAAGAGAGGCACUAAGCAACUCAGUGAGACCCUGUCUCUA